rnacentral:rRNA from 1 species
CGGCCGCGUCGACGCAAGUCGAGGGGCAGCAUGAACUUAGCUUGCUAAGUUUGAUGGCGACCGGCGCACGGGUGAGUAACGCGUAUGCAACUUACCUAUCAGAGGAGAAUAGCUCAUCGAAAGAUGAAUUAAUGCUCCAUAAAACAGGGGUCCGCAUGGGAAUAUUUGUUAAAGAUUCAUCGCUGAUAGAUAGGCAUGCGUUCCAUUAGGCAGUUGGCGGGGUAACGGCCCACAAACCGACGAUGGAUAGGGGUUCUGAGAGGAAGGUCCCCCACAUUGGUACUGAGACACGGACCAAACUCCUACGGGAGGCAGCAGUGAGGUCGACGCGGCCGAGGUCGUGGGAGGCAAGGGCACACAGGGGGAUAGG